UGCGGGGUGGAGCAGUUGGUAGCUCGUUGGGCUCAUAACCCAAAGGUCAGUGGUUCGAAUCCACUCCCCGCUA
rnacentral:tRNA from 1 species